GAUGAACGCUAGCGGCAGGCUUAACACAUGCAAGUCGAGGGGUAACGAUGGUGCUUGCACCAGUCGACGACCGGCGCACGGGUGAGUAACGCGUAUGCAACCUGCCAUCCACUGGGGGAUAGCCCGGAGAAAUCCGGAUUAAUACCCCAUACAACCGUAAAGCCACAUGGUUUAACGGGAAAAGCUCUGGCGGUGGGUGAUGGGCAUGCGUGGCAUUAGUUAGUUGGUGGGGUAACGGCCCACCAAGGCGACGAUGCCUAGGGGGCCUGAGAGGGUAGUCCCCCACACUGGUACUGAGACACGGACCAGACUCCUACGGGAGGCAGCAGUGAGGAAUAUUGGUCAAUGGGCGCAAGCCUGAACCAGCCAUGCCGCGUGCAGGAUGACGGCCCUACGGGUUGUAAACUGCUUUUGCACGGGAAGAACCUCCCCGACGUGUCGGGGAUUGACUGUACCGUGAGAAUAAGCAUCGGCUAACUCCGUGCCAGCAGCCGCGGUAAUACGGAGGAUGCUAGCGUUAUCCGGAUUUAUUGGGUUUAAAGGGUGCGUAGGCUGGCGGAUAAGUCAGUGGUGAAAUCCUGCAGCUUAACUGUAGAAUUGCCAUUGAUACUGUUCGUCUUGAGUUCGGUUGAGGUAGGCGGAAUGUGUAAUGUAGCGGUGAAAUGCUUAGAUAUUACACAGAACACCGAUUGCGUAGGCAGCUUACUAAGCCGUUACUGACGCUGAAGCACGAAAGCGUGGGGAGCGAACAGGAUUAGAUACCCUGGUAGUCCACGCCGUAAACGAUGAUCACUAGCUGUUGGCGAUACAUUGUCAGCGGCAAAGCGAAAGCAUUAAGUGAUCCACCUGGGGAGUACGGCCGCAAGGUUGAAACUCAAAGGAAUUGACGGGGGCCCGCACAAGCGGUGGAACAUGUGGUUUAAUUCGAUGAUACGCGAGGAACACUUACCUGGGCUUAAAUGUUGGGUGCAUUCCCGGGAAACCGGGAUUCCCUUCGGGGCUUCCAACAAGGUGCUGCAUGGUUGUCGUCAGCUCGUGCCGUGAGGUGUCGGGUUAAGUCCCAUAACGAGCGCAACCCCUAUCGUUAGUUGCCAUCGGGUCAUGCCGGGGACUCUAGCGAAACUGCCGGUGUAAACCGCGAGGAAGGUGGGGAUGACGUCAAAUCAGCACGGCCCUUAUGUCCAGGGCUACACACGUGUUACAAUGGCCGGUACAGAGGGCAGCUACCUGGUGACAGGGUGCAAAUCUCGAAAGCCGGUCCUAGUUCGGAUUGGAGUCUGCAACUCGACUUCAUGAAGCUGGAAUCGCUAGUAAUCGCGCAUCAGCCAUGGCGCGGUGAAUACGUUCCCGGGCAUUGUACACACCGCCCGUCAAGCCAUGGAAGCCGGGGGUAC
rnacentral:rRNA from 1 species